rnacentral:rRNA from 1 species
GAUGAACGCUAGCGGCAGGCCUAAUACAUGCCAGUCGAGGGGUAUGGGUUGCUUGCAACCCAGAGACCGGCGCACGGGUGCGUAACGCGUAUGCAAUCUACCUUAAUCAGGGGGAUAGCCCGGAGAAAUCCGGAUUAACACCGCAUAACAUUGAGUUGUGGCAUCACAGUUCAAUCAAAUAUUUAUAGGAUUAAGAUGAGCAUGCGUGACAUUAGUUAGUUGGUGAGGUAACGGCUCACCAAGACCACGAUGUCUAGGGGAUCUGAGAGGAUGACCCCCCACACUGGUACUGAGACACGGGCCAGACUCCUACGGGAGGCAGCAGUAAGGAAUAUUGGUCAAUGGGCGCAAGCCUGAACCAGCCAUGCCGCGUGCAGGAAGACGGCCCUAUGGGUUGUAAACUGCUUUUGUACCGGAAUAAACCUUCUCUUGCGAGAGAAGCUGAACGUACGGUAAGAAUAAGGAUCGGCUAACUCCGUG